rnacentral:rRNA from 1 species
AUGCUGGAGGUAUCAGAAGUGCGAAUGCUGACAUAAGUAACGAUAAAGCGGGUGAAAAGCCCGCUCGCCGGAAGACCAAGGGUUCCUGUCCAACGUUAAUCGGGGCAGGGUGAGUCGACCCCUAAGGCGAGGCCGAAAGGCGUAGUCGAUGGGAAACAGGUUAAUAUUCCUGUACUUGGUGUUACUGCGAAGGGGGGACGGAGAAGGCUAUGUUGGCCGGGCGACGGUUGUCCCGGUUUAAGCGUGUAGGCUGGUUUUCCAGGCAAAUCCGGAAAAUCAAGGCUGAGGCGUGAUGACGAGGCACUACGGUGCUGAAGCAACAAAUGCCCUGCUUCCAGGAAAAGCCUCUAAGCAUCAGGUAACAUCAAAUCGUACCCCAAACCGACACAGGUGGUCAGGUAGAGAAUACCAAGGCGCUUGAGAGAACUCGGGUGAAGGAACUAGGCAAAAUGGUGCCGUAACUUCGGGAGAAGGCACGCUGAUAUGUAGGUGAAGUCCCUCGCGGAUGGAGCUGAAAUCAGUCGAAGAUACCAGCUGGCUGCAACUGUUUAUUAAAAACACAGCACUGUGCAAACACGAAAGUGGACGUAUACGGUGUGACGCCUGCCCGGUGCCGGAAGGUUAAUUGAUGGGGUUAGCGCAAGCGAAGCUCUUGAUCGAAGCCCCGGUAAACGGCGGCCGUAACUAUAACGGUCCUAAGGUAGCGAAAUUCCUUGUCGGGUAAGUUCCGACCUGCACGAAUGGCGUAAUGAUGGCCAGGCUGUCUCCACCCGAGACUCAGUGAAAUUGAACUCGCUGUGAAGAUGCAGUGUACCCGCGGCAAGACGGAAAGACCCCGUGAACCUUUACUAUAGCUUGACACUGAACAUUGAGCCUUGAUGUGUAGGAUAGGUGGGAGGCUUUGAAGUGUGGACGCCAGUCUGCAUGGAGCCGACCUUGAAAUACCACCCUUUAAUGUUUGAUGUUCUAACGUUGACCCGUGAUCCGGGUUGCGGACAGUGUCUGGUGGGUAGUUUGACUGGGGCGGUCUCCUCCUAAAGAGUAACGGAGGAGCACGAAGGUUGGCUAAUCCUGGUCGGACAUCAGGAGGUUAGUGCAAUGGCAUAAGCCAGCUUGACUGCGAGCGUGACGGCGCGAGCAGGUGCGAAAGCAGGUCAUAGUGAUCCGGUGGUUCUGAAUGGAAGGGCCAUCGCUCAACGGAUAAAAGGUACUCCGGGGAUAACAGGCUGAUACCGCCCAAGAGUUCAUAUCGACGGCGGUGUUUGGCACCUCGAUGUCGGCUCAUCACAUCCUGGGGCUGAAGUAGGUCCCAAGGGUAUGGCUGUUCGCCAUUUAAAGUGGUACGCGAGCUGGGUUUAGAACGUCGUGAGACAGUUCGGUCCCUAUCUGCCGUGGGCGCUGGAGAAUUGAGGGGGGCUGCUCCUAGUACGAGAGGACCGGAGUGGACGCAUCACUGGUGUUCGGGUUGUCAUGCCAAUGGCACUGCCCGGUAGCUAAAUGCGGAAGAGAUAAGUGCUGAAAGCAUCUAAGCACGAAACUUGCCCCGAGAUGAGUUCUCCCUGACUCCUUGAGAGUCCUGAAGGAACGUUGAAGACGACGACGUUGAUAGGCCGGGUGUGUAAGCGCAGCGAUGCGUUGAGCUAACCGGUACUAAUGAACCGUGAGGCUUAACCUUACAACGCCGAAG